AUUGAACGCUGGCGGCAUGCCUUACACAUGCAAGUCGAACGGUAACAGGGAGCUUGCUCCGCUGACGAGUGGCGAACGGGUGAGUAAUAUAUCGGAACGUACCUUUGAGUGGGGGAUAACUAGUCGAAAGAUUAGCUAAUACCGCAUACGAUCUACGGAUGAAAGUGGGGGCUCGUAAGACCUCAUGCUCAUAGAGCGGCCGAUAUCUGAUUAGCUAGUUGGUGAGGUAAAGGCUCACCAAGGCAUCGAUCAGUAGCUGGUCUGAGAGGACGACCAGCCACACUGGGACUGAGACACGGCCCAGACUCCUACGGGAGGCAGCAGUGGGGAAUUUUGGACAAUGGGGGCAACCCUGAUCCAGCAAUGCCGCGUGAGUGAAGAAGGCCUUCGGGUUGUAAAGCUCUUUUGUCAGGGAAGAAACGGGAUGUUCUAAUACAGCGUCCUAAUGACGGUACCUGAAGAAUAAGCACCGGCUAACUACGUGC
rnacentral:rRNA from 1 species